UCCAGGUGUACAAAUGCAGGAGGUGAGUAUUAUGCAAGCAUUUGCCAAACCAAUUCAAGAUUAAUUAACCAAUAUGAAGCGCUUAAUUACUAUCAUGAUGCUUUUUUUUUUUCUAAAGCUAUUUCAAGUCCGUGGGCCUUGGUAACUAUUUUGGUAUGAACAGCAGGAUCCCAGGUGGUCUACAACACAAAUUUGCUCUCACAUUGUUCAUAUGCAGCUUUGAACUUAACUAGUUAAUUGCCCUUUUACUGGCUUUGGCAGAUGUCUGCCUGAAACUCUGGUUUACGUAAUUAAAGUAGGACAAGCCUUGAUCAUGAUUUGUUAAUUUUUUGUUUCUUCCAAAAUUUUCAUCGCCUCAUGCUUUGCACCAGAGAAAUUAUAUAUUUUGUGAAUGUUAAUUGUAAAUGAAGUCAUGAUCCCAUCUUCGAUGAUGGUACAUAAUUCCUGCAAUUGAAGGAGUAAAAGGACACUAUUUUAAUAAAAUCCUGGAAGAUAUGUGGCUUGUAAUAAAGAAAUAACUUGUUAUUAUGAUAACAGAAUUCAUAGUUGAUACCCAAGUAGCUACUUGUGAAUGGAGAAAAGAACAUAGUAGAAAAGCUUUAGAUGCCAUUUUGAAUUUUGACUUCUGGUUAGAGUGGAAUUU
rnacentral:misc_RNA from 1 species